rnacentral:misc_RNA from 1 species
GAAUUGCGAAAAGUCGUGUGAUUUGCAAAUAGUCGUGAAUCAUUGAAUGUUUGAACGCAACUUGCGCUUGUUGUUUGUGCGACAAGCGGUAUAGUAUGAGUGUCUUUCAACUGACCUGUGCCCCGUGAGGGGCGCAGGGAAGUGCGGGCUCCACUCCGAUAGGAGUGGUCCCGUGAAAAGCAGGUGGUCACUUCAGGUCACGCAGUGCAGUGGUUCUCCCCAGGGAGAUUUUCAGCGCUACGUGGCCCGCUUCGCGGCCACACAACACUUCAAAUCUCCGACCUCAUAUCUAUACAGACUACCCGCUGGAUUUAA